GUGCUCACUUUGGCAGCACAUAUACCAAAAUUGGAAUGAUACAGAGAUUAGCAUGGCCCCUGCACAAAGAUGACAUGAAAUUCAUAAAGGUUUCCAUAUUUUU